CCUCCACCCCCUGCCCGUCCUCCACCCCCUCCUGCACCCCCACUUCCCCCUCCACAGCCUUCUGUUGUACAGGCUGCCCCUCCAGCUGCUGCAUUCCCAAAGCACCCCAAAUCCAGCUUGCCCACUCUCAAACCCACACCCAAGUGCAAACCCAAACUCCCCACACCGGCGCCCGAGGCCUCCUCAGAGCCAGCAGACUGGCGCGACCCCAGCCAGUUGGAGCAGCUGCGGAGCCAGCUGGCAGCCUAUCUGUGUGGCCCCAGGAAGGAGGACAGAGCCCUCCGUCACAGGCCGGGCCCCACGGUGGCUGCUCAGGACAAGGAGGGCAAGAAGGGCCCAAGUCCCCCAGCAGAGGCAGUGCCCCGGAUCCUGCCUGAGAAGAUGCCCCCGGGGGUCCCCGAGAAGGGUCCCACCCUGGCCCUCCCCCCGGUGGACUACGACCCCCAGGACACCCCAGCCCGCAGCGCGGGUCCCCUAUGGCCCUGCUCCUGGCAGCCCGGAAGCGGGCUCAGAAGGGGAGGCCUGGAGGGCUUGCCCAAGGGCGGUCCUUGCCUGGAAGCAUUCGAGGCUGUGGCGGCCUGCCGGAGCCCAAGUCUGACAGCGUCUUCCCCACGGACGGCAAGCCCAGCUCCUUCACCGUGGUCCCCAAGUCACCCAAGGAGGUGGAGAAGGUCACCCUGCUGCCCAGCGAGCAGAAGUCCCCAGAGGGCGCAGAGCCGCCCUCGCGGCCUUGGUGGACCACGAUGCAGCGCCCUGCACCCGGGGGGACCUGGGACAGGCCCAUCCCCUCCAGCCUCCCGCAGGACCCCUUGCUCCCCAGGUCCCUGUCGUCGCCACCCUCACCUUUCUGCAGGCGGCGGGAGGCUGAGGCUGAGGCUGAGGCUGAGGAGUUCACUUUUGAGGUCAUUCCGCCGCCGCCCGAGUUCAGCAACAACCCUGCUCCCUCGGUUCUCAAGGACCUGGGGCGGCCGCCUGGCCUGGCCUUCCCACAUGUCCUGGAGCGUGGCUGCCCCGGGGGCCGAUCGCUCAUCAAGAAGCGGCUGUACAUUGGGGGGGAGCCACCCCACGCCCCUGGACCUGGCCGCAGCCAGGGCACCCCCAACGGCCCGACGCCUCGCCGCCUCCCCUCCGCCGGAUGCCCACACCCUGCCGCAGUCCACGGGCGGCGGAUGUCACUGGAGGGCACUGUGGCACGAGGCAUGGGUGAUGCCAAGUACAGGGUGCCUGGGGACUUGGCGGGGGAGCACUGCCUCGAGCCUGCCACGGGCAGGUCACACAUCAACACCUUCACUGUGAGGCCCGGGACGCGCCAUCCCAUCUCCUAUGCCUCCUCCCGAGCCCACCGGAAAGCCAUGUCCUGAGCCCGUGGCUCUCAGCUCUGCUCCGAGGGGUUGGGGCUGGGAAUUUGUCCUGGUGGGGGGUGGGAGGGUUGAAGCAGGUGUCAGCCUGAUCCAGACACAGAAGAGUCUUCGUUCUCCGAAGACAUGACGAGGAGCACAAGGAAGCCUGAGAAGGGAUCCGGGCUCUGUUUUCCAAAGCCACGGUGUGGUGUGGCUGGGGCCCUGCAGAAGGGGCUGGGGAGGGUGAGGAGGAAGAAGAGCGGGAGUCCUGCGCGCCCUGAGCCUCUGCUGUUUGCUGGCGGUUGCUUUAGUGAGAUUCACUGAGAGCAGCUGUGCAAGCCCAGACUGCUGAGCAGGUUCUAAGUGUUGCUGAAACCCGAGGGGCACUGGGCGUUGUGGGGUGGGUUCCUGUCCACGUGGCCCUGCCCUUAGCUCCACGGAGGCCCAGGCAGAGAGACUUGGUGAGCAGGGACAGGAGACCGAGGAUGAAGGCUGCUUCCUGUGCAGACCAAGCAGCCCUCAGGAUUGGGGCCUGAAAACAGCCCCUGCGUGCCCAGGUCUCGUGUGAGGGUUCCCGAACCCACUGUGACUUACGCAGGCCCAAAUGCUGGCGGGCCUUGGAAAGUGGAAGAUGGGAACACAGGUCCCAGAGAAGGUCACUGCUGGUGGGGCAGGUGUUUCAGGAAGCUGGGAGUACCAGGACUGGCCAGUUCAGAGCAGGGGUGACCAUUUGUCUUUUACCCGGGCAGUCCACGCUUAUGCCUGUUUUCCAAUGAAUCAGAACCCCGUAUUAAGUCCUGCUUGGCAUAAGAGCAUUGUAUUCACUCUCAGUUUUGUCUCCAGGUUGGGGCCGGGGAGUCAGGAGGAAGGCAGGGGGUGGCCCUUAAUUGGGGCAGCCUAGAAGCAGCUUCCCUUGGGAGCAAGAUACCGGAUCAUUAGCCAAGGGCCUAGGCUUCAGGGACAGAUACCAGAGCCACUUCCAGGAAAGACAGUGUAGGGUGGGUUAGGAGCAGGGUGGCCCUGGCCAGCCAUCCCGAGGGGACAGGGUCUGGGUCCCUGUGUUCAGGAUGCAGCUCUGCUCAACACCAGCCCUGGCUCUAGAAAUACUCGUGUUUCCGGUGCCGUGUUUUAGAACAGAGAUCACUAGGGCUGGGGAUUUAGCUCAGUGGUUCUGCCACCUUCCCCGCAAGUGCAAGGUCCUGAGUUCAAUCCCUGGUACCAAAAAAGAAAAGAAAAGAGAUCGCUAAUUCAUCUGCAGUGCUGAGGCUUGAGGAAGGGGUGUGACAUGGGCUCUGCGUUGCUCUGGGGUGGGUGGAGAAGGGCUUGGUCUCACUUGGCUUGGGAAAUAAACGAGCCAGUUGGGACUGGCCUUCAGCUCUGCGGCUGCAAGUGAUGAUUCGGAGUUCCUGGGUGUGGGAGACUUGGGCAGCUCUGCUGGGANNNNNNNNNNNNNNNNNNNNNNNNNNNUGCCGAGCACAGGACGUUUGACCGCCCUGGUGUCUGACCUCGUUUUCCUCUUCUCCAAAUCCCUCCGGGGAAUGAGCAGAACCGAGGGCUGGUGAUAAUAAACAGUGUCCUUCUGCAAGACUCUUGGACUCUUCUGGACACGACAGCAGUGUUUACCUCCGCAGGCUCUGUGAAGAUCGGAGAUGGCCACACACUCAUGUAGCAAGGGUUUGUGGGGCUGCUGGGUGCCAGGCACUGUGCUUGGCAUGGGCAUACAGCCAUCCACACACGGUUCCUGGCUCCUGGCUUGGCAACAGCGGAGGUAAAAGAGAAUAAAAAGUGCCCAGAAACAUGGAGAGUUAAGCUGGUGCAUACCUGUGAUACCCGAGCCGAGCCCUUGUCACUGGGGAGGAAAUGCAGCCCCUGGAGGGCGCUGAGGUCCAGCAGAAGAACCCCAUGCUGCCCUGCGCCCCUUUGCCCUGUCCUGAUUAUACUGGCCCAGACUUCUGGCGGGGAGAGUGAGGACUCGAGU
rnacentral:lncRNA from 1 species